UGAUGGCGACCGGCGCACGGGUGAGUAACGCGUAUCCAACCUGCCUGUUGCCACGGCUCUACCCGUCGAAAGGCGGAUUAAUGCCGUAUGUGGUCCUUUGCGGGCAUCUAAUUAGGACUAAAGGUUCGGCGGUAACGGAUGGGGAUGCGUCCGAUUAGCUAGACGGCGGGGUAACGGCCCACCGUGGCUACGAUCGGUAGGGGUUCUGAGAGGAAGGUCCCCCACACUGGAACUGAGACACGGUCCAGACUCCUACGGGAGGCGGCAGUGAGGAAUAUUGGUCAAUGGGCGUAAGCCUGAACCAGCCAAGUAGGGUGAGGGAAGACUGCCCUAUGGGUUGUAAACCUCUUUUGUGCGGGGAUAAAGUGUGGGACGUGUCCCAUAUUGCAGGUACCGCACGAAUAAGGACCGGCUAAUUCCGUGCCAGCAGCCGCGGUAAUACGGAAGGUCCGGGCGUUAUCCGGAUUUAUUGGGUUUAAA
rnacentral:rRNA from 1 species